GGGAACCACCUUUGUGGACCUCGAAAGGUGCCUAACACCUUCCUUUUGAGGUAAUUUGAACCCUUACUCGAAUCUCUUGUGAACUAAGACUAAAUAACUCCAGAAUUUUUGCUAAUUUACAACAUGCAUAACUAUUUUUACAUGAUAAAUUAACGAUUAUCAUUCCCUCACAUUUACCUAACUUUGACAUGCCUAUUAAUAAGAUUACAACAUCUUGUUUCGAAGUAUGUACCAAUUCUCUUUUGCCAUAUUAACAGUUGUCACUUAGACAUCAUGCCUAUAGGUUAAUGACUCCUAAAUGAGCAAUUAUUUGUCUUGGCAUGCUAAUCACAUUAAUCUAUUAAUUUACCAAGUGGCCUAUUUGAGAUUAUUACUUGCUAUUUGUUGUCCAACGUGUAUUAUUUGAUGCGUUUUGAGUCAAACUAGGAAACCUAGCUUUGUUUGUCUAGGUCACAAAUCCAAAAUAGCAUGGGCGGACCGACGUGCAAUUUUUGGGUGUUCGAGCACCCACUAAACUCGACGUAGAAAAGGUAUAAUUAUAUAAGAAACAAUGAAAAAUGGUAAAAUAUAUACAAAAGCACCCAGAGAAUAAAAGCAUGGUUGCGUGCUCUGGAUUUAGACAUAACUUUCAUGUCUUUCAUCCUGGGAUUGAAUCCUUGUAGCUGCAUUGUUUAGUAAAAAAUUUUUGAGCACCCACAACCUAAAAGAGCUAGGUCCGCCACUGCAAAAUAGCAAAAUGCAAUGCCUUUUGGACGAUUGAUUAGGACGAUAGGCAUUUUAAAGACGUUAGUUUUAUCCUUUUUUAGUACGCCUUUAGGUUAACAACCAGCCUAGGUGGGGUGGAUAGACAUUCAGAAGUAAUGAUACCCAAACAUAUAUUGACGGUACGAUAUUUGACAUUGUCGCUUAUCUAGAAUCCGGCUGCUGACUAAUGGGUCAGAUAAUAACUAACAAGUUGGGUAUCGAUCUGAAUAAAACCAAAAUAAUUUCUUUACUUGAUCCUAACGAAUUUUGUUCUUCCAUUUACUUUACAUGUUUAUUCAUUUGGGGUAGUUUAGGCUCUUUAAUUUAAUAAAAAUAUUUGUUAUAAAGCGUGUUAUUUCUCUUUUUCGCUUAACUUUCUUACAUUAUUUCAUGUCUUGUUUUUAUCACUUAGUAAUUAGAAAUAAUUAAAUAACAUAACUUGUUUAUUAUUUUACCAUUUAAUAAUAUUAAGUUAAUAAAUAAGUGACCUUUAUUUUAUGAUAUAGAAUUCCCAUGUAAAGUAUGAAUUCGGCUGGGAACCACCUUUGUGGACCUCGAAAGGUGCCUAACACCUUCCUUUUGAGGUAAUUUGAACCCUUACUCGAAUCUCUUGUGAACUAAGACUAAAUAACAAAAAAUAAGUUCGUAGCUAGCCUAGAAUGAUGUCCUAACGCACCUUAAUACGUUAGGUGGCGACUCUUCACACUCUUAAUCAAUCCCAAAAAGAGUUUGUCACAUCAAAUCCUCUUUUCGUGAGAAAAAUAGGGCGCGGCAACUAUCAAGUUCUACAAGUUGUCAUUGGAGCGAUUAAUUACCACUGCAACGGCUGCAACUAAUUACUGAUACAAUGGUCCACUGCGGUGGUUAAAGUUUUACUGCGCUGGUUCGUGCCUUAAAAUAGAGGUCCACUGGUGUGAUACCUAUGACUUUUGUAGUGGUUACUUUUUUUGUUGCAGCGGUCAAGGAAAGAAACACGAGACCUUUUCUCUAUUUUUCUCGAUUUUGUUAAAUCUACAACACACACCACGAACUAUAACAUUGUGAACACCCCUUGGUAAACUCUAUAAUCAAAGUCUACAACUUUGUUUUAUGUGCCAAAAUAGCCACGACUUUCUCAACCCAUUGUCCAUCUAUCUAUCAUAAACAUCACUAGCAACAGUCACCUUACUACCAGAUUUUGUUUGUUUUACACUCUUUAAAAUCGUCCAAUUCUAGAAAAGCCCUGAAUUUCUCAAAAACCAGCUAAGGAAAGUUUAAAUGAAAAUUUUACCUCCACUUUUAUUGCAACAACAAUUUGAGUCAUAA
rnacentral:lncRNA from 1 species